GGAGGAAAGGCUUGGUGGGAUAGCUUGCCCCCACCCCCCAACCGGAGCCUGGAAAGGGGAGGACAGGGGAGGCUGGAGAAGGCGAGCGAGGACGGGGUUAUUAGCGGGGCAGAGCGGGGCACCGGAGCUGACGCCCCCGAAAGGCAAGCGAGGGGGGUGGCGUCCCGGGGCGCCCGGGCGAGGAGCUGGCGCCCCGGGCCGCCGGGCCGCCGGGCCGGGCCGCCCCGCGCGGAGCCGGGUCUCUUACCUGCCGCCCGCUUGGGUGCCUGCUGCUUCCUCCUUGGCAUCGCUCUAGUUCGCUCCAGUCCCACUUCUGGCGCCCCAGCCCCGAGCCGCCGCGCGCGGGGGCCCGCUGUCUCGCUCGCCUCUCCGGGUCUCCUCCGCCUCCUGCCCGGUGGCUCCCAGGGCGUCACUCGGCCUCUGUCCCCCUGUCCCUGCAACUCCUCCACCGGGGGCCGGAGACCCCCCUCUCUGCGUGGCAGGCAAGACACGGGUGGCUGUGCCGGCUGGUUUGAAGUAGAGGUUGGUUCUGCCUUGUUUGUUUGUUUGUUUGGUUUUGGAUUUUUUGUUUUUGUUUUUUCUCCUCUCUCUUUUUGUUUUUGCUUUUUGGAAAUUUUUUUUUUUUUGGUUUGGUUUUUUUUUUGUUGGUUUUUUUUUUUGGUGACUGUUGAGACACUUGAUUUCUUUAUUAAACAUCCAAGAGCGGGUUCGGAUGGAAGGGACGAGGGACGCACACGCGCGCGUAAAGAUAAGGAAAAAAAAAAAAAACAACACACAAACAAUCCUGGGAAGGUAGUGGGGUCCUCUUUCGCUCCUUCCUUCUCCUCCUGGCCUCCUGCACCUCCACCUCCUCGUCUUCCUCUUCCUCGCCGGGCUCGAUGGCGGAUUCGCGCCGGGGGCAGAGAGAUCUCUCACUGUCGGGUUGUGGCUGCUGUCAGAUCCCCGUCUCUGAGUGAUAUGCGAGAGGACAGGAGCGGGUUUGGGAAAGACAGAAAAUCUGGAAUUCACUCGCACACACUCACACACGCACACUCACACACACACACACACACACACACACUCACACUCGCUCCCUCUCACACACACACACACACACUCACACCCCCCACAGAUGCACACACACACACACACACACACCACGCGCACGCACACACAUACACACACACUCUCACACACACACAAGACAGGGCGAGGCGAUGCCAGCAAACAUCGAUCCCGCUGAACAAACUGAACAUUAACAAACUCCUCCUCCUCUCCCCGCGACCUGAUGACAGGGAGAAAUUUACUCCCCAGCCGCAGAGCGCCAGGCAGAGGGAGUCUAUUAAAGGGACAGUGUCCCGCCGGGAGCGGGGCGGGGCGGGGACCCCGGCGUGCCGCCUGCCCUGCCGUGCGCCCCGCUCGCUGGCGCUGCGACGCGCCCCCCGGGCCGCGGGGACACCCCUCGGAGGAGCGCUGAGAAAGGACGCGCUGGGGGCAGGGGGAUGGAAGGAGGAGCCCCGGGCGCCAGGUCAGUGGGCAGACACGUGGACUCCUCUUUGGAUGUGGAUUCCCAGGGACCACUUGGCGUUCUUGGUACCAGGAAUCGGAACCACCAGUCUGGCUGUCACAGCCAAGUUUGGCCAGCCUGGCUUUAGCUAUUUCCUCAUUCUCAGCUAGCAUCACUGCCAGUCUUGCCAGCAUAUCUAGAGGCCUAAUCCAGACUCUCAUGGAGGCUAAGCCCGUGACCUUCUCUGCCAGAAUGGUGAUCCCUCUUCUUGCCUGUUGGACCCUUGACAUAAGAAGCUCAAAGUUCCUGCAUGGAAGCCAAGACUUAAUGUUCCAGAAACUCUUGCUGUGCCUUCUGGUAGAGCUGUGUGUCAAACACUAUACAGGACUCCACUUGGCGUUCUUGGCUAAGGCUGUGGGUAGGAAGGGCAAAUCCAUAACUGGAUUAUCUGUUCAUUCCAGUGAAAGUAGACUGUUACCCAGGGCAGAUGCGCAAAGGGCUGCUUUUUAUUGCUCCAUGUAAGACAGACUUUGGCUUCAAGCUGCCCUCAGAAAAGGAGUAUAACCCUGGGUGAGAUGGCUUCUAGACAUGAACUGGUAAAUGUUUAACGAUUAACAACCUGAAAAGAAGUUCUGAUUUUUAGUGUUUUCUGAUUUUCAUGAUGUCGAUAAGGGGUUGGAAAACUACAACAUGCUGGCCCACCAGCUGGUUUUAUAAAUAACAUUCUAUUGGAAGACAGACACAUCCAUUUGUUUAAAAAAAAAAUAUUGGUAUGGUUGUUUUUUUGUAACAAUGGCCCACCAGGCUCCUCUGUCCAUGGGACUUCCAGGCCAGAAUACUGGAGUGGUUUUCCAUUUCCUUCUCCAGGGGAUCUUCCCAACCCAGGAAUCAAAACUGGGUCUCCUGCAUUGCAAGCAGAUCCUUCACUGUCUGAACUACCAGCAAAGCCCAUUGUGCUAAUUGUCAACAUCAUUUAAAAUGGGACUUCCUGAUCAGGUCUGUUAUAAAGACAGUUCAUGGUCUACUGAAAAUGGUGGUAUUUAAGAGGUCAAUAAAUCACAUCUACCUCCGACCAAACUCACAGUCAAUUAAUAAAGUGACACGAGAUUCAGAGAUACGAAGAUCAGAGUGUGGUAGAAAGUACUGAAGAAUUCGGCACAAACCUGCAGCAGAUGAGCUGCCCAACUAACCAUCACUGAGCACCUGGUAGGUGGCAGGUCUUGUUAUGCAUCCUGGGAAUACAACGGGGAAAGAAGUAUAAAAUCCCUUCCCUCAUAGAGUUCACAUUCUAGUAAAUCUGGACUCUCAACACGUCCUUAGUCUGUACUUUAGAAUCCAUCCAUUGUAGGAUGGACUCCCAAGACCACCUCAUACCUGUCAAGCUCCAAGACUAGAGAAAGAAUGAGCUUCUAGAUCUGACCUUAGAAGACAGGCCUAGUUCCUCAUCCAUGGACAAAAAUCACAUGGAAGAAUGAUUAAAAAAUAAUGUGUCCAUUCAGGGUCUAGAUGGCCUGGAGGAGAGAAGGAUGGUGCCUAAGUCAUGUUUGUGAAUACCCUUACCUUAUUUUUGAUCCAUUUAGGUGUUGAUAUAAUUGAAAUCAUGGAAGAAGAUUCUAAAAGCAUUACUCUAAUACUGCUUUCUCCAGUGAAGAGAAAUCCCCCAUGGUCACAAGAAGAGAGGGACUAGUUUUUGUGUUUUCAUCCAAGUGGUAGAAACAAUAUUUUGUAUGUAAAUCAGUUGAAUUGCCUAGAAGUGGCUAGAAACACAGUAGGUGCUCAAGAUAGUCUUAUGGACAGCUCAAUUUCAAUAUUCCCACUUAUUCUUUGGUAAAUUGCAAGAUUGAGGAAUUGUCAUUAAAGGAUAGGCAAGCAUCCUUCUGUCUGGUAUGAGUUUCAAUCUUAUGUUUUGAUAAUCACAGUGUCAAUAAUAUUGAUAAAUAUUUUGAGGCAAAUGCUUUGUACUUGGCUGAGUAAUGUGUGCCUUUAACAAGGCACACCCACUGUGUGCCUUGUUAAAAUUACAUGGUUUCUUUCUGGAUGGAAAAUACUCUGUUUAUAAAAUGUCUUAUUAUCAUGCUUCAUGAUGAAUGAGCUCUGUUUAUUUGUUUCUUUCCUGGCUGUCUUUAGGAGAUGAUCUAAGGUUAAUGGUGGAAAUGCUACCAAAAUAAAUGGUUUCAUGUAGUCAAAUAUUUCAUCUGAGCACUUUGUUUCAGGAAACUUGGGAAGAAAACAAAUGAAUAUUUUUGGAGGGUUUGAAUUCAUUCUUUAACUUUAGUGCUGCUAAGGUUUCCAAGAUACAUUGAAAAAUAUACUUUUCAACUAACCCACAAAAGUCUACAAUGCUUCCACCAACAUGUCAAUUAGAAUAUUACACAUAGUAUCUUCUGGAAAAUCCUCAAAAGGAUGUAGAAAAUGAUUUCAGAUGCCUGCAUAGAAUUGGCUAUUUUCCACAUGAAAUGGUUCUAUAGAAUCAUAAUCUUUCAUGAGAGUGAUAUUCACCAGACCUGGUUUAAAACAUUUCCUUAAAUUGACAUCUUGUUUUGAAAAUAAGCAGAUGUAAUAUUUGCAACUAAUCCUUCCAAGUUUGGACACUUUUGGAAAAAAAAAAAGUACAGUCAUGUGGGUAAAAUAUAGGACUUUUCUUUAAUGUCAGAGAUUCUGACUUAGGUCAGACUUAGUUGAGAAUUGCUCUAGGCUUACAUGAGAAUCUCUUGCCUUUGGUCAAAGUUCUACAAUAAAUCGCUGCUCCUAAGUGAUGUUGCCAGGAUGAAGUCAUUACCAUUUCCCCCCCUGAGGUUUUGGAAUUCUUCUAAGAAUCUCCUUUAUGUCCAGCUAAGUACAAAGGAUUAUUUAUCAGAUAUCUCCUUCCUGCACGGAUUAUACGUACCCAGAAAUAUUUGCAAUUGCCAAAGUCAUUCUUAGUCCUGCAGUCGAUAUUACUUUGGAGAUAAACAGAGAUUUAAACAUCAACAAUAAACUUAAAAUGACAGCUCAAUAAGAGAAGGAGUCUAUGUUGUCAGAUUUUUUUUUUUUUUCAGAUCAGGACUUUUAGUUAGAAAAAAUUAAUAUAUACAUGGCAAGACAGAGUGAAUUUUUCUUCCAAAGCCUUCUGGUAAACCCCAGCAUAAGAAGUUAUGCAUCUUAGUCUUGUAAACUGAACUUUAUUGCCUUUUUCUAAACUUUGAGUUAAAAUGGCUUUAAGAGAGGGGUCCAAAAUUGAGUUAAAGAGGAAAAAAAGACCCAUUAUCAAUCGAGAUUCCACUGGAAACAUUUUUUAUGAAAGGUGCUUAUUGGCUCCUUGAUAGGUUAUAUUCCAUUUUGGUCUCUUAAUUUACUAUUGUCUAAUAUAAAAUACAUGUAAUUGCUUUUCAAAAUUAUAAGAGUAUCUUUUGUUCUUUUUUUAAAUUAAUUAAUUAAUUUUCAUUGGAGAAGUUUUGUUCUUUUGAGGUUGGCAAUAUAGGUAAUAGAAAAGAAAAGAAAAAAC
rnacentral:lncRNA from 1 species